ensembl:lncRNA
UACUUUUUUUUUUUUUUGUCUUUUGUCUUGUUGUUGUUGUUGUUGUUGUUGUUGUUGUUGCUAUUUCUUGGGCCGCUCCCACGGCACAUGGAGGUUCCCAGUAAUUUUGCUCCUAAGAAUUUUUACUAAUGAAAUAAUCAGAGAUAUAUACAAAGAUGCAAGCACAAUGAUUUGUAUUACAGGAUUAUUUAUAAUAUCAAAAACUUUAAAACAAUCUAUUCAAAAUAGAGGACUACCUAAAUAAUUUAGUUUUCAUCCAUAUGAUAGAAUACUAUAUAUAUUAAAGUCAUAUUACUUUAAAACUACAUAAGCUCUUUAAAGACAGGAAGAAUUUACUUAUCGCUGAGUGUGAAUUUUUUUUUCUUUUACUUUUAGGCAUAAAGAUUGCAAAGAUAUAUACCUUAAAUGUUGAAAAAAUGGCUAUCUCAAAAUGGUAGGAUUACCUGACAUUUUUGAGCUACAUGUUCUAAAUUUUCCAGAAGAAACAUUCUUUUUUCUGAUUUUUUUAAAAGUAUAAUUGAUUUACCGUGUUGUGCCAAUUUCUGCUGUACAGCAUAGUGACCCAGUCAGAAACAUUCAUUUUUAAUGGGAAAAAAAUAAAACAUAUUUUUAAAUUUUAAUAUUCCUUGAGAAGGACUGUUUGUCUUCCUUAUAACUUCAGAGAGUAGCUAAAGUCCCAGCUUCUCCUAAUGUAUCCAUUUAUGGUUCUGCACUUAUAAAUGUACGUAACAUUUUUAAUCCUUUAGAUUUCUGGUAACUUCUUGCAUUAUUCUUUUUUUGAAAUCAUUGUACAUUCAAAGAAGUUUACAAGAAAUGUAUAACGAGGUUUCAAUGCACCCUUUCCUCAGUAUCCCCAAUGUUAGCAUCUUAUACAACUAUAAUGAAACAUCAAAACCAGAAAUUGACAUUGGUACAAUUCACAAUGCUUAUUCGGAUUUCACCAGUUAUACAUGUACUCAUUUGUAUCUGGGUGUGUAUAUGGAUGGGUGGUUAGCUCCAUAUAAUUUUACCACAUGUAUAGCCUUGCAUAACCACCACCACAAUCAAAAUAUAGAACAUUUCCAACACUACAAGGAUCUUUCAUUUUGCCCUUUCAUUUUGCCUUUUCAUUUUGCCCACACUUACCUACCUUCCUCUCUAAUUUCCCUAAUCACUAAACAUUUUCCCAUCUCUAUAAUUUUGUCCCUUCGAAAAUGUUACAUGGAACCACACACGAUGUAACCUUUUGGGAUUAGCCUUUCUCACUCAUCGUAAUUUGGUGAUUCAUCUAGAUUGUUAUAUGUAUCCUCAGCUCAUUCCUUUUCCUUGCUAAGUAGUAUUCCAAGGUAUGGAUGUGCCAGUUUGUGUAACCAUUCAUCCACUGAAGGACAUUUGGGCUGUUUCCAGUUUUUGGCUAUUACAAAUAAAAUUUUUAUGGCCUGAGAGCCCAAGAAAGCCUCCUUCUCCUAUAUACUAGGACUUAUUGAAAAAAUUCAUAUUUACUUUACCCAUACUGGCACAGUUUCAUGAGAACCGAGUUAGAUUAAGAAAAGAACAUGGAGUUACACUGUAUUUUCUCACUGAAUUAUACUUUCUAAUGUAUCUGUCUCUUCCCCUCGACUAUGAACUACAUGGAGGCAGGGACCAUGAGUGAAUAGCCUCUACUCCUAGGGCAGGGCACAGGGCCUAGCACAGAGUAAGUGUUCAGAAAAUGUUAGGAUCUCUAGGGGUGGGUGGGGCCCGGGGAUAGAUGUUCUAUGAGAAACUCGGUAAGUUAUAACAGGCAGUCAGGUUGAGAACUAUGAUUUAGCUGAAUAUAUGAAUAUGUAAAGGAGAAGAAGGAAAGCUCAUAAUAGGAGAGGACAGACUCAGGACAGGGGUGGGGAUAACAAUGUUCUCUUAGCCUUCUCCACCUUCCAGAGAGAGUUCUGUGUCCAGACUAACCUCUGGACUGCACAGUAGAGGAUGUCAGUAAUUUCCAGUGCUGUUUGUGAAGUGCUACUGUUGAAUUCCUACAGCUGACUGGGGUAAAGAAAAGCCAGCUUUCAUCUGCCCUGUGGGGUUUUACCUAUGUGAAAGUCUGCCCCACGCAACUUUAGAGCCCCAGACACCUUGAGGAGUUUGAUGGAAAAAGCAAUUAGCGAUAUGAAUUACCUGAAGGUGCUUAUUUGUUUGGAUGGAAUAAUUAUGUUUGAGAGAGCUUUGGAAGAGAGGAACAAUGGCUCCUUAUGUGACUGGAUUGCCUGGGAAACACAGCCGAAAACUGUCCCUUGACAAAUGCCAGUCAUACCAAACCUCAAUAAAAUAUGUUGAACAUAUAAAACCACAAAAGGGGCUGGGCACAGACUGUGGAAUAUCACUAAAUGGCCAGGGUCCAACAGUUAAAAACAUUGGCUGGGGAUUCAGUAGACAUUACAGGAACCGGUUGAAGGGCUGUUCGAAGAUUGCAAAACACAUCAGUGAGAUGGCUCCUAAGAUCAGAAUCAUCAGAGCACAGAGUUGAAAAAGGAGGGAAAGGCAGGGACAAAAUACCAGGGCCUGUUAGUCAGGAAGAACUGUGCUUGGGGCUCAACUAUGUUGCAUAUCAAAAUAAAGCUGUCCUUGUGAGAGGACCCCCCCCAAAAAGCAAACAAAGUAGUUUUUGCCUGGGCAAACUUUUCUCAUGUGCUCUGACUCUUGAACUUCCAGAGACUUGCAGGCUGCCUGACUCAGGGUUCUGCUUUAGCAUGUGUUACGGAAGCCUUUUAUAAACUGAUGCCAGUUUUGAAGACUUGGGAUCUGUGCUACGUCAUAAAAACGUAGAGGCAAAGAUAACCAUGGCUUCUUGCCAAGUGUAGUUGGUCAACCGGCGAGACCUGAGAUCCAAUUUAAAAAUUUGAGUUUGUAGCACAAAGUAGACAAUUACAGACAAUGUCCUCAGGUAUUUUAUGCCCUGGAAGGCAAGGACCAUAGGCCCAGGCUGAUUCAGGAAAGGACAUCUCCACUAUGCUGGAGAGUUGAACUAUUAGCUGGAUAAAGAGGGUGGGGAGGAAGGUGUAAAGGAAGUACAGGCUCAGUCUCUGGAACUGAGAAAACACCUGCAAAAUGCUUUCCCUCAGCUUGCUUGAGUCAAAUAAGCGCUAUUUCAAGAAGGCAACCUCUGCCUCCCACUUUUUCAGAGGACUGUAAGAUGCUUGUUUCAGCCUCUCUCUGCCUACCAAGGAGGCAGGUUGAAAUCUCAUAGUAGAAUGAGAAAAGGCCAUGACCCAGGGGUCCCUCCUCUCCUUCAAGCUGAGAGGUGAAGUGAGAAGUGACAGGAUCCAGGUGUGUGUCUGGACUCAAAGAAAAAGGGACCAUGGCAGCCCAGGUGCUGGCAACCAUUUUUUACAUCAAUAGUCAAAAAAGAUAGCAGUAUUGCCAAAAGCAUGACUGAUGAAAGUAAGGAAGGGAGGGCAGGGUUACUACAGCAUUAAUGCAUUGGGCCCUCAGAGGCAACUGUGAGUAUGUCCCUGAAGAAGAAGCCAGAAAGCUCCUUGACUGGUCACAUUCGGGCCCGCACUCACUCUAUCAGGAACACUACAAUUGAACAGCCAAGAUCAGAGAAAAUAAGAAUGGGCAAAGGCAAUGAAUGACAGAAUGCUGUCUAGACUUAACAGCAAAACAACCAACAACCCAACUGAAAAAUGGGCACAAGAUGUGAAUAGAAAUUUCUCCAAAGAAGAUAUACAGAUGGCCAACAAGCACAUGAAAAAAUGCUCAACAUCACUAAUUAUUAGAGAAAUGCAAAUCAAAACAACUAUGAGGUACCACCUCACUCCUGUCAGCAUGGCCAUCAUUAACAAGUCAGCAAAUAACAAAUGCUGGACGGGGUGUGGAGAAAAGGAAACCCUCCUACACUGUUGGUGGGAAUGUAAACUGGUACAACCACUAUGGAAAACAGU